rnacentral:rRNA from 1 species
GAUGAACGCUGGCGGCGUGCCUAAUACAUGCAAGUCGAGCGAACAGACGAGGAGCUUGCUCCUCUGACGUUAGCGGCGGACGGGUGAGUAACACGUGGAUAACCUACCUAUAAGACUGGGAUAACUUCGGGAAACCGGAGCUAAUACCGGAUAAUAUAUUGAACCGCAUGGUUCAAUAGUGAAAGACGGUUUUGCUGUCACUUAUAGAUGGAUCCGCGCCGCAUUAGCUAGUUGGUAAGGUAACGGCUUACCAAGGCAACGAUGCGUAGCCGACCUGAGAGGGUGAUCGGCCACACUGGAACUGAGACACGGUCCAGAGUCCUACGGGAGGCAGCAGUAGGGAAUCUUCCGCAAUGGGCGAAAGCCUGACGGAGCAACGCCGCGUGAGUGAUGAAGGUCUUCGGAUCGUAAAACUCUGUUAUUAGGGAAGAACAAAUGUGUAAGUAACUAUGCACGUCUUGACGGUACCUAAUCAGAAAGCCACGGCUAACUACGUG